rnacentral:rRNA from 1 species
CUGGUAUGAAUGGUUGGAUGAAAUAUUAACUGUUUUAUUUAAAUUUUUUUAGAAUUUUAUUUUUUAGUUAAAAAGCUAAAAUAUAAUUAAAAGACGAGAAGACCCUAUAAAUCUUUAUAUUAUAUUUAUAAAAGUUAUAUUGAUUAUUUUUAUUUUUAUAAAAAUUAAUAUUUUAUUGGGGUGAUAUUAAAAUUUAUAAAACUUUUAAUUUUAUAUUAACAUAAAUUAAUGAAUAAAUGAUCCAUUAUUAAUGAUUAAAAAUUUAAGUUACUUUAGGGAUAACAGCGUAAUUUUUUUGGAGAGUUCAUAUCGAUAAAAAAGAUU